GAUGGAGUUGCCAUGGAAACGGAGCGCAACACUGCAAAUGUCACGAGGAAACACCCCGUUUCUCGCUGAUUUCACUGUUUUCAGGAAUGGUUUAAUGUCUUCGAAAAGUCCGUUAGCAUUUCUACCGUUUUCAGACGACGUAUCGUCAGGUAUGAUAACUCUAUUGUGCUCUUAUUUAUUAAAGUUUGGGCUUUUAAUCAAAUCUUCAUCUGUAGAUGAUAGCUUUUGACUGUUUUGUUGGUAAUCUUUCAAUGGAUGAUUGGAAAUUGCUUAAUUUAUUUAUUAACAUUUACACUUUACUGUUUAUCGAUGACGUCACGUAACGUUAUCAAGGAGCGCGAAAAUUGGCAGAAAACUAAAGUUGUUUUGAUCUUUUAUGGUAAACAUAAAACUGUUCUGCGAUUUCAAGAGUGACAAAAUAAACCUUCUACAACAGAAGGGAGUGUCCAAGAUUUUAAUAUUUCUGAAGGGAGCUGCUGGCAGAGAUGUAGGAAGCGCUGAAAAGGUUAAGUAAUCUAAUAUGCAUGUUUUUCACAACAUAUAUCGCAAUGAAUUUGUUAUUUUAUUUAUUUAUUUUUUGCAUUUCACCUGCUCUAGCUGUUUCCAUCUAAUAAACCUGGAACUGCAGACUAAAUAUUGUUGGCUCUGUGUCAAAUUGCUUGUUUUGUUCCUAGAUUCUCCAGUGCUGAUGGCCUGCUGCAUCCAGCAGAGUCGGAGUGAACCUACUGUAAGACAACAUCUCCAAGAUGCUAUUGACCACAAGACUAGUACAAUGUCCAUCCCAGGGUUAUUAGGCACAUGACUUGCAGGACGUGUGAGGACUUCAGAUGAUACCAGUACUCAAAAGACCUUAGAUGAUGGCAACUAUAGAUGGACAUACAAACUACCGCCACUGCAAAAAAGAUUCUAAUUUGAAAGAAGUUUAUAAUGCAUGUUCGCUACUCCCAAUUCAGAAGACUGAAUCAGGCUGUGUAUCUGAAUGUUUCUCAUACUCUCUCCUCUCUGCCGCGGCUGAAUUUGGGAUUUUCCUUAGCUGUCAGUUAUAAACGUCAAAAUUAAAAGAAAUAAACAUUUGAAAUGUAUCAGUCUGUGUGUAAUGAAUGAAUAUAAUAUACAAGUUUCACUUUUUGAAUGGAAUUAGUGAAAUAAAUCAACUUUUUGAUGAUAUUCUAAUUAUAUGACCAGCACCUGUAUAUCAUUGCUCUUUUGUUGAUUUUGAUUGCUUCCAUUGUCCUAAUUUGUAAGUUGCUUUGGACAGAAA